GAAAUCUGGCGUCUUCGGCGUCCGAGUUGUAAUUUGUAGAGGAUGCUUCUGGGCAGCCACCGGUCUAAGUUCCUUGGAACAGGACGUCAUAGAGGGUGAGAAUCCCGUAUGCGACCGGACAGGCACCCUCCACGUAGCUCCUUCGACGAGUCGAGUUGUUUGGGAAUGCAGCUCUAAAUGGGAGGUAAAUUUCUUCUAAAGCUAAAUACCGGCCAGAGACCGAUAGCGCACAAGUAGAGUGAUCGAAAGAUGAAAAGUACUUUGGAAAGAGAGUUAAAAAGCACGUGAAAUUGUUGAAAGGGAAGGGUUUGCAACCAGACUUGCUCGCGGUGUUCCGCCGGUCUUCUGACCGGUCUACUCGCCGCGCUGCAGGCCAGCAUCGUCUGGGGCCGCCGGAUAAGACUUUAGGAAUGUAGCUCCCUCGGGAGUGUUAUAGCCUAUUGUGAUGCGGCGCGUCCCGGGCGAGGUCCGCGCUUCGGCUAGGAUGCUGGCGUAAUGGUUGUAAACCGCCCGUCUUGAAACACGGACCAAGGAGUCUAGCAUCUAUGCGAGUGUUCGGGUGUCAAACCCCUACGCGUAAUGAAAGUGAACGGAGGUGGGAACUUUUUGUGCACCAUCGACCGAUCCUGAUGUCUUCGGAUGGAUUUGAGUAAGAGCAUAGCUGUUGGGACCCGAAA
rnacentral:sRNA from 1 species